rnacentral:rRNA from 1 species
UAAGACGGACCACACGAACGUUAUUCGGAAUUACUGGGCUUAAAGGGUGCGUAGGCUGUGCAGAAAGUUGGGUGUGAAAUCCCCCGGCUCAACCGGGGAACUGCGCCCAAAACUACUGCGCUCGAGGGAGACAGAGGUGAGCGGAACUUAGGGUGGAGCGGUGAAAUGCGUUGAUAUCCUAAGGAACACCGGUGGCGAAAGCGGCUCACUGGGUCUCUUCUGACGCUGAGGCACGAAAGCCAGGGGAGCAAACGGGAUUAGAUACCCCGGUAGUCCUGGCCGUAAACUAUGAGCACUGGGUUGAAGGGUCCUCCAUAGCCUUUCAGCCGUAGCGAAAGUGUUAAGUGCUCCGCCUGGGGAGUAUGGUCGCAAGGCUG